rnacentral:rRNA from 1 species
UACAGAGGUCCCAAGCGUUGUUCGGAUUCACUGGGCGUAAAGGGUGCGUAGGUGGUGGGGUAAGUCGGAUGUGAAAGCUCGGAGCUCAACUCCGAAAUGGCAUUGGAAACUACCCUGCUAGAGGAUUGGAGGGGGGACUGGAAUACUUGGUGUAGCAGUGUAAUGCGUAGAUAUCAAGUGGAACACCAGUGGCGAAGGCGAGUCCCUGGACAAUACCUGACACUGAGGCACGAAAGCUAGGGGAGCAAACAGG